UUCUAGAUCGAGAGAAAAGCGUCAGGAGAAAUUACCUGAGGAAGACUCAAUAAAGCCAGAUAAAACGAAUUCUAAACAUGAAAUCGAAGAACAAAUGAAAGAUGGCACAAAUAUAAAGAUAAUUCAGGAUAUAACAAUAAGGCCCACAAGUAAGACAGCUGUUAAAGAAGAAGACGCCUUUAUAGAAAAAAACAAAUUCGAGACUGCGACAAUAGCUAAACCAAUAGGACGAACAAAUAUUAAGCAAGCUCAGAAAAAAAAUAGUUUAUUUCCUCAGCAGAACCCAAAUAUUUUAAGAAAGAACACAAAUAAUGUUACACCUCCCGUUAAAAGGAAAAAUAAUAUUUCCAAAAUGGACGCAAUAAACAACAAAGUUGAACCAACUUCCUUGCAACGUACAAAAACAAAACCAAUUACAAAAAUAAUUGAAAAUAAGUCAAAAGGAGACAUAGCCGGCGUCAUUACAAUAAUGAAAUAUAAUCGAGAAAAUACUGAUUCUGCUGAAGCAUAUGAUUUAUUGAAAAAUAUUGAUAAAACUGGUGGGUCAUGUCACAGAUCAACAGAACAAUUAUUAGCAGUUGAUCCUAUGCUUAUACAGAGAAAUAUACUACUUCCCAUUUCUA